AAAUUGAUAAGGUUGGAUUGCCAAACUUUAUGAUAAGGUUGCAUUGUCAAACUUUAUUCAGACUAAAAUCUAUCGCUUACCUGAAAGAAAUUGAUAAGGUUGGAUUGUCAAACUUUAUUCAAACUAAAAUCUCAUCGCUUACCUGAAAGAUUCACUUUGGUCGGGUAUUUGUAAACUCGGUUGUUGGAUUGAACUGGAUGGCUUGGAGCGGGCAACCCGGGUAAUCGAAUACCCACGUACAAACCCGACAAGAACCGCCGAGAGAUCGAAGACUGGGACAGUGGUAAUUGGGACGAUGGCAUCAACAGUUCAUACUUUGAGAAAUUUUGGGCAAAAAGAAAGUUUGGUCGACAUUAUCAUAUGAAUUUUUACAGAUACCAUUGAUUUGCAUGAAAUUAUAUGAAUCAUGAAUGCCAUAGCUACUAUACCCAGAUGUUUAAAUCAUGUUUUGGUCGAUACCCAGUGGUGCUAAGUGCUGUAAUUUGUUCCACACGUCUGGUGUUUGACAAAAUGUCUAACCGGAAAUGUUGAGUUGAACAAAGAGUUUGCAGCUUUUAUCAUUGUUUUCACGUGUUUAAUGGUUCAAUUGGGAAACUAGAAGAGAGAAAAGAAAAGAAAAAAAAAAGUCUUUAAACAAGCUCUUGUCAGAAGAUAAGAAGUUUGACUUUGUGAUGAAAUGAAAUUGAGAGAAUAGAAUGGUGAAGAGGAAGGUAAUGAAGGCAUUGAAAGAUAAAGAUGAUGACGAGGACAACAAUUGAUGCUGGUUGGUUCACAGGGGUAUUCCGGCCUCAUUUAUUUGUACAAGUUGGUUUGUGUUUUUGGUGAGAGUCGCUCUAUCUCUCCAUCCUUGCGUUGGUGCCGGUAAGUGGCAUCCAAGUAUGGGGACUUUGAAGCACAGAGGCAUUGGAUAGCACUGCCAACGAUCUGAGCUACUGGGGACUUGACUACCCUCCCCUUACUGCCUACCAUAAUAAUGUUCAGGGUCUUUUCUUUAGAAACUUCCAUCCAGGUUCUGCUUCACUUUACACUUCUCGUGGCCACGAGUCCUAUCUUGGGUUUGUAUCAUAACAGUACAUCUUGAUUAAUAGUAUUGAGAUCUUUAUUUUUGCCAUUCUCUUAAUUAUUAAAUUAUUCCAUCAAUUGUUUCAGCUGCUCAAUGUUUUGCCCUGCAGAAAGCUGCUCAUGAGGUGGACAGUCUUGUCCUCUGACAUGUUGAUGUUCUUUCCUGCAGUUUUUUUAUUUUGUUAUCAUGUACUAUUCUGGUACUUACAGUGGACGUAAAAGUGAUGUUGCAUGGCACAUUGCAAUGAUUUUGCUUAACCCAUGUCUGAUACUGAUUGACCAUGGUCAUUUUCAGUACAAUUGUAUUAGCUUAGGGCUUGUUGUUGGAGCUGUUGCCCCCAUCCUCUCUAACACAGACCUUUUGGCUUGUGUCCUGUUUUGUCUCGCUCUUAAUCACAAACAGAUGAGUGCCUAUUUUGCUCGUGCAUUUUUCAGCCAUCUUUUGGGUAAAUGCCCAAGGCAUCGGAACCCAUUUCUUCCAGUGUCAAAACUUAGCUUGGUGGUCUUAAGAACAUUUGCCCUUGUUUGGUGGCCAUAUCUGCGGUCGGUGACAGUGUUUUUGGAGGUUAACAUCAGCAAGUAUGCAAUUGUUUUUAUUUUGUUUGUUUUAUUUGUCUUUGAUUAGUUGUUUCUGGGAUUAGAUCCGUGUCCAAAUUUUAUUUUAUCUUUUGUUCUUGAGUUGAGAUAAAGAUGUGGAAAACCAUACUCACAAUUUAGUAUAUGAAAUUUUGUUGAGAUUAAACAGAUCAUCUGAAAUACAGAUCUUUGGUAUA